AGCAGCCGCGGUAAUUCCAGCUCCAAUAGCGUAUAUUAAAGUUGUUGCAGUUAAAAAGCUCGUAGUUGAAUUUCGGGAUCAAUAUAUUGGUCGUGCCUCCGGUAUGCACUGGUAUCAUUGAUUUCUACCUUCUGACGAACUGUGAUGUCAUUAAUUUGGUGUCAUGGGGAAUCAGGACUGUUACUUUGAAAAAAUUAGAGUGUUUAAAGCAGGCACACGCUUGAAUACAUUAGCAUGGAAUAAUGAAAUAGGACGUUUGACCCUAUUUUGUUGGUUUCUAGGAUCGACGUAAUGAUUAAUAGGGAUAGUUGGGGGCAUUAGUAUUCAAUUGUCAGAGGUGAAAUUCUUGGAUUUAUUGAAGACUAACUACUGCGAAAGCAUUUGCCAAGGAUGUUUUCAUUAAUCAAGAACGAAAGUUAGGGGAUCGAAGACGAUCAGAUACCGUCGUAGUCUUAACCAUAAACUAUGCCGACUAGGGAUCGGAUGAUGUUAAUUUUUUAAUGACUCAUUCGGCGCCUUACG
rnacentral:rRNA from 1 species